rnacentral:rRNA from 1 species
UACGUAGGGUGCAAGCGUUAAUCGGAAUUACUGGGCGUAAAGCGUGCGCAGGCGGCUCUGCAAGACAGAUGUGAAAUCCCCGGGCUUAACCUGGGAACUGCAUUUGUGACUGCAAGGCUGGAGUGCGGCAGAGGGGGAUGGAAUUCCGGCGUGUAGCAGUGAAAUGCGUAGAUAUGCGGAGGAACACCGAUGGCGAAGGCAAUCCCCUGGGCCUGCACUGACGCUCAUGCACGAAAGCGUGGGGAGCAAACAGG